rnacentral:snRNA from 1 species
GGAUCUGAGGGCGAUCUGGCUGCGACAUCUGUCACCCCACUGAUCGCCAGGGUUGAUUCGGCUGAUCUGGCUGGUGAGGCCGGCGUCCCCUUCCUCCCUCACCGCUCCAUGUGCGUCCCUCCCGAAGGUGCGCGCUAGGUCCAGGAGGACGACCUUCCCCGCCAAAGGAGGACCAUCUUCCGUCGAGGGUAUACGAGUAGCUGUGCUCCCCUGCUAGAACCUCCAAACAAGCUCUCAGCUUGCCUGGUAUUUGUUUUUUGGUUUUUUUUUUCUAUUUCAUGAUACUAGUAACAUAGUUGAUUUUUUAUUUAAUUUU